rnacentral:rRNA from 1 species
CCUACGGGAGGCAGCAGUGGGGAAUAUUGCACAAUGGGGGAAACCCUGAUGCAGCGACGCCGCGUGAGUGAAGAAGUAUUUCGGUACGUAAAGCUCUAUCAGCAGGGAAGAAAAUGACGGUACCUGACUAAGAAGCCCCGUCUAACUACGUGCCAGCAGCCGCGGUAAUACGUAGGGGGCAAGCGUUAUCCGGAUUUACUGGGUGUAAAGGGAGCGUAGACGGCAGCGCAAGUCUGGAGUGAAAUCCCAUGGCUUAACCAUGGAACUGCUGUGGAAACUGUGCAGCUAGAGUGCAGGAGAGGUAAGCGGAAUUCCUAGUGUAGCGGUGAAAUGCGUAGAUAUUAGGAGGAACACCAGUGGCGAAGGCGGCUUACUGGACUGUAACUGACGUUGAGGCUCGAAAGCGUGGGGAGCAAACAGGAUUAGAUACCCGGGUAGUC